ACAGGUGCUGCGAUGGCUGUCGUCAGCUCGUGUCGUGAGAUGUUGGUUAAGUCCGCAACGAGCGCAACCCCUAUCUUAAUUGCCAUCAUUCAGUUGGGCACUUUAGAGAGACUGCCGGUGUUAAGCCGGAGGAAGGUGGGGAUGACGUCAAGUCCUCAUGGCCUUUAUGUCUAGGGCUACACACGUGCUACAAUGGGUGGUACAAAGAGCAGCUAACUCGCGAGAGUAUGCAAAUCGCAGAAAGCCGGCCUUAGUUCGGAUUGGAGUCUGAAACUCGACUCCAUGAAGGUGGAAUCGCUAGUAAUCGCGCAUCAGCAUGGCGCGGUGAAUACGUUCCCGGGCCUU
rnacentral:rRNA from 1 species